rnacentral:rRNA from 1 species
GCUAGUAAUGGCAGGUCAGCAUACUGCCGUGAAUACGUUCCCGGGCCUUGUACACACCGCCCGUCACACCAUGAGAGUUGGGGAUACCCGAAGCCUGUGAGCCAACUAUAUAGAGGCAGCAGUCGAAGGUAGAAUCAAUGAUUGGGGUGAAGUCGUAACAAGGUAAC